AGCGGAGGAAAAGAAACUAACAAGGAUUCCCCUAGUAACUGCGAGUGAAGCGGGAAAAGCUCAAAUUUAAAAUCUGGCGGUCUUUGGCCGUCCGAGUUGUAGUCUGGAGAAGUGCUUUCCGCGCUGGACCGUGUACAAGUCUCCUGGAAUGGAGCGUCAUAGAGGGUGAGAAUCCCGUCUUUGACACGGACUACCAGUGCUCUGUGAUGCGCUCUCAAAGAGUCGAGUUGUUUGGGAAUGCAGCUCAAAAUGGGUGGUGAAUUCCAUCUAAAGCUAAAUAUUGGCGAGAGACCGAUAGCGAACAAGUACCGUGAGGGAAAGAUGAAAAGCACUUUGGAAAGAGAGUUAAACAGUACGUGAAAUUGUUGAAAGGGAAACGCUUGAAGUCAGUCGCGUCCGCCAGAACUCAGCCUUGCAAUCUUGCCUGGUGUACUUUCUGGUGGACGGGCCAGCAUCAAUUUCGACUGCCGGACAAGGGCUGGGGGAAUGUGGCACCUUCGGGUGUGUUAUAGCCUCCAGUCGUAUACGGUGAUUGGGAUUGAGGAAUUCAGCAUGCCUUUAUGGUCGGGGUUCGCCCACGUUCAUGCUUAGGAUGCUGGCGUAAUGGCUUUAAACGACCCGCU
rnacentral:rRNA from 1 species